UCCCACAUCGGAAAUUGGCGAAUAAGAGAAAGCCUAUUUAAGUAAGCAGAUGAAGGCAUUGGAGCACGACCUUACUUGAACAGGAUCUGUUCUAUAGGUUGUACAACUGUGUCCUUGAGUUCUAAGGAGACAAGAACCAAAGUCUGGUGGAUGAACCACUGCUGUGCGACUAGAGCGUGACUAACGGCUUACGGCCCUUUGGUCCUGCGGCUGUAGAUGAUCGUUCUUAGGUAGGUUCGCCCUGCCUGGGAUGGUCGCAUGGCGGUCUGACAGACUAAAUUAACUUUUUUUGGCUCUCCUCUCUUUUUAUUUUUUCGUUUUUUCUUUUAGCUUUUUGAAUCUGAAAUGUGGGCUGUGAUGGAAGAAACCAUUGGUUUUGUGCGUGAAAUCUCAGAGAUUUGGGUGGUUUGGAGGUUUAGGGUUAAAUGAUUAGAAGUAUCUGCGUUCUUCUUUCUUGUGUGUUUAUUGAGAUUUUGGGAUGAAUUUAUGUUUCAAUUAUUGCGUUAAAAAUCCAUUCUCCCGAUUGAGAUAAGAUGCAGAGUUAUGGGAAUCGAGGAUAAUUUCCUCUGCACUUCAUGCUCCUUACCUGUUUGAUGAAAUGCCUCGUACAGACCUGCACUUCCUUUCUUCAUCUUCAGCAGCUUCAGAGUGAAGGUUAUCAUUAAAUUCUCUUCUGCUCAAACAUGCCACCACUCUGUUUCAAAUGGGUCUCUGGUUUGCUUAAGAAUGGGCAACUAAUUUUCAUGAGGCACUCGAGAGCUUUUGCUUCUGCUUUUAACACGCAAUGAAGCCUAGUUUAUCUCAUCAUCGGCAACACAAGUCACGUUCAACCUCCAAAAAUUUGGUGUCCUGAUGGUUGGAUGAAAGUCCCACACAAGGUGCGACGAAGCAAGGCAGUCAACGACGUGCAUGUAAGCUGCUGGCGCCCGUACGGAGCCUCAUCCUCUGUGGUUAAGCGGCGAGCGGCGUGAAUGAGGUGCCAAGGUCGACUGGUUGGCGACAACAGGCGGUGCUUAGGCGAGCCAGUGUGGUGUGGAGUGGUGUGCCCACGGAACAUUAAGAUAAUGUAUGUCGACUUUUGGUACAUGCUGUCUAUGUCUUCAUAUCUAUCUAUGUUGUGUCCACUCCAAUUUGUUUAAUUAAUUUUUGUUCUUAUUUUUCUUUUAGAAAAAACGUAGAAAUUCUCAAA